GAUGAAGAACGUAGCGAAAUGCGAUAACUAAUGUGAAUUGCAGAAUUCCGUGAAUCAUCGAGUCUUUGAACGCACAUUGCGCCCCCUGGUAUUCCGGGGGGCAUGCCUGUCCGAGCGUCAUUGCUGCCCAUCAAGCACGGCUUGUGUGUUGGGUCCCGUCCCCCUCUCCCGGGGGACGGACCCGAAAGGCAGCGGCGGCACCGCGUCCGGUCCUCGAGCGUAUGGGGCUUUGUCACCCGCUCUUGUAGGCCCGGCCGGCGCUUGCCGACACCCAACCAUUUUGUUCAGGUUGACCUCGGAUCAGGUAGGGAUACCCGCUGAACUUAAGCAUAUCAAUAAGCGGAGGA
rnacentral:misc_RNA from 1 species